UUUAGAUUCGCCCAUUUUAUUAAUUUCUCAAUUCCAACCCCCCACCUAGCUUCGUUUCCAUCAAUUACACCAAACAUUACUCCAAUUCAUUCCAGGUAUCACCGAAAUCACAUCGUCAAACACAUAAAAUAUCAUAACAUCGACAAAAUCCACCAACCAUGAUCACACCACACAUAAUCACAACAAUUCAACCAAUCAAGGCAAAGAAAAGAGAACGAGUUAAGAGAAUGGACCUCAAAGGAACUUGUUUUCGUUGAUAAUAAAGAAAUCCAAAACCGAAAUCCUCAAAUGGGAGCC
rnacentral:lncRNA from 1 species